rnacentral:rRNA from 1 species
AUUGAACGCUGGCGGCAGGCCUAACACAUGCAAGUCGGGCGGGCGCCGGCGGGGUGAGUAAUGUAUGGGAUUCUGCCUGAUGGCGGGGGUUAACUACUGGAAAGGGUGGCUAAAACCGAAAACCACAGGAGGAACCAAUAUGGGAUUGGCUUGUAGGUGGGGUAACGGCUACCCUAGGCGACGAUCCCUAGCUGGUCUGAGAGGAUGAUCAGCCACACUGGGACUGAGACACGGCCCAGACUCCUACGGGAGGCAGCAGUGGGGAAUAUUGCACAAUGGGCGCAAGCCUGAUGCAGCCAUGCCGCGUGUAUGAAGAAGGCCUUCGGGUUGUAAAGUACUUUCAGUCGGGAGGCGUUACCGACAGAAGAAGCACCGGCUAACUCCGUGCCAGCAGCCGCGGUAAUUC